UACGUAGGGUGCAAGCGUUAAUCGGAAUUAUUGGGCGUAAAGGGUGCGCAGGUGGAUGUAUAAGUCAGAUGUGAAAUCCCCGGGCUUAACCUGGGAAUUGCGUUUGAAACUAUAUGACUAGAGUGUGAUAGAGGGGAGUGGAAUUCCAUGUGUAGCAGUGAAAUGCGUAGAGAUGUGGAAGAACACCGAUGGCGAAGGCAGCUCCCUGGAUUAACACUGACGCUCAUGCACGAAAGCGUGGGGAGCAAACAGG
rnacentral:rRNA from 1 species